UAGGGAAUCUUCGGCAAUGGACGAAAGUCUGACCGAGCAACGCCGCGCGAGUGAAGAAGGUUUUCGGAUCGUAAAACUCUGUUGUUAGAGAAGAACAAGGACGUUAGUAACUGAACGUCCCCUGACGGUAUCUAACCAGAAAGCCACGGCUAACUACGUGCCAGCAGCCGCGGUAAUACGUAUGUUGCAAGCGUUGUCCGGAUUUAUUGGGCGUAAAGCGAGCGCAGGCGGUUUCUUAAGUCUGAUGUGAAAGCCCCCGGCUCAACCGGGGAGGGUCAUUGGAAACUGGGAUACUGGAGUGCAGAAGAGGAGAGUGGAAUUCCAUGUGUAGCGGUGAAAUUCGUAGAUAUAUGGAGGAGCACCAGUGGCGAAAGCGGCUCUCUGGUCUGUAACUGACGCUGAGACUCGAAAGCGUGGGGAGCAAGCAGG
rnacentral:rRNA from 1 species